GAUGAACGCUGACAGAAUGCUUAACACAUGCAAGUCAACUUGAAUUUGGGUUUUUAACUUAGAUUUGGGUGGCGGACGGGUGAGUAACGCGUAAAGAACUUGCCUCACAGCUAGGGACAACAUUUGGAAACGAAUGCUAAUACCUGAUAUUAUGAUUUUAGGGCAUCCUAGAAUUAUGAAAGCUAUAUGCGCUGUGAGAGAGCUUUGCGUCCCAUUAGCUAGUUGGAGAGGUAACGGCUCACCAAGGCGAUGAUGGGUAGCCGGCCUGAGAGGGUGAUCGGCCACAAGGGGACUGAGACACGGCCCUUACUCCUACGGGAGGCAGCAGUGGGGAAUAUUGGACAAUGGACCAAGAGUCUGAUCCAGCAAUUCUGUGUGCACGAUGAAGUUUUUCGGAAUGUAAAGUGCUUUCAGUUGGGAAGAAAAAAAUGACGGUACCAACAGAAGAAGUGACGGCUAAAUACGUGCCAGCAGCCGCGGUAAUACGUAUGUCACAAGCGUUAUCCGGAUUUAUUGGGCGUAAAGCGCGUCUAGGUGGUUAUAUAAGUCUGAUGUGAAAAUGCAGGGCUCAACUCUGUAUUGCGUUGGAAACUGUGUAACUAGAGUACUGGAGAGGUAAGCGGAACUACAAGUGUAGAGGUGAAAUUCGUAGAUAUUUGUAGGAAUGCCGAUGGGGAAGCCAGCUUACUGGACAGAUACUGACGCUGAAGCGCGAAAGCGUGGGUAGCAAACAGG
rnacentral:rRNA from 1 species